rnacentral:rRNA from 1 species
CCCUUAGAUGUUCUGGGCCGCACGCGUGCUACACUGAGUGGAUCAGCGGGUCAGGUUGCGCGAAAGUGUUUCCUAAUCUUGAAAUCCGCUCGUGAUGGGGAUUGACGGUUGCAAUUUUCCGUCAUGAACGAGGAAUACCUUGUAAGCGCGGGUCAUCAUCCCGCGCUGAAUACGUCCCCGCCCUUUGUACACACCGCCCGUCGCUCCUACCGAUUGAGUGGUCCGGUGAGGCUUUGGGAUCUGAGCGGAAAGAGUGUUUCGCUGUUUCUGCUCGGAAAACUCAGUCGAACCUUAUCAUUUAGAGGAAGGAGAAGUCGUAACA